rnacentral:tRNA from 1 species
GCGGGAGUGCCGGAGUGGUCAAACGGGAUGGACUCAAGAUCCAUUGGCUUAGUGCCUACGCAGGUUCGAAUCCUGUCUCCCGCA